UUGGGUUAAACAAAUAUUUUUGCUUGGUUGGAACAGCAGCUAUGCUAAUUAUGUCUUUAUUUGUUUCUCUGUUUCUGUAACUGUUACACAAGCUCCAGUCUGGAUCCAGAACACCUGAGAAGAGAUGAUGCCAACACCUCAGAGGACCUCUGAUGAUGCAAACCCUGAAACAACAUACAGCACUACCAAAUUUGGUUAUAAGUUUGAUUGCAACAUCAUUGCUGUUAAUAGUGUUCAUUGUCUGUUUGAUUACAUCUUUGAUUGAUUUUUUACCGUACAUUUCUGCCAUGUGUACAUCAAUUUGACAUGGUCACCACUAAUAAGCUACUACUAAAUAUAUUGUAGAAACUUAAUUUUCUGUAAAGCAGCUUUGCAAUGAUUUGUAUUGUGAAAGGUGCUAUACAAAUAAAUUUGAAUUUAAUAAGAUAUAAAUAUGAUGUUUUGCAUGCAUCUUCUCAAAUUUAUAAAUAAAACCCAUCACAGAUUGUAAGUUGAAUUUAGCUGACAUCUCAGAAGAUCUUUCAGAUUUUUGUGGACUUUCUGGUUUGUGAAGUAUAAAACUCACAAACUUUUUUGGGCGUUCCUCCAUCUGCAUCAAUGGGAUGAUAAAAUUCCUAUCACCAUGGGGGGGAAAAACAAACAAAACAAAACAAAACAAACAAAAAAACAUCUACACUAUUUUACAGCAGAGUCAGAACAUUUGCACUGAAACUCGCAUGUUUUAACAUGUACUGAUAAGAUGACUUAUGAAUUAUGACAUUUCUUUUUAGAGGAUCUUGCAUAGAUUCAUUCAGUGUUCAGUGCAUCAUCCACUCAAAUACAUGAAUCAGAUUCAUAUAGAUCAUUUAAGACAUAUUCAACAAAUACAGUGGAUACUAAAAAUAUAUUUAUUUUUCAUUCAUCUCUUAUUUCUUGUAGUCUGCUUUUUUAAUGUGAGCACAGACUUGUUUAUCCACUCUUGGGCGUGGAUGAGCAGGUAUCUGUGUCACCUGAGGGUGGAUCCAAAGUAUAAAUACAAGCACGAGAACAGCAUUUCCACACGGAGAGCAAGACGAGACAAGAGUGUUUAAAGACGUGUUGAAUAUCUGAAAAUCUCAACAUGAGUAAUCCACUAUAUUAACAGGGCUGCAAAGAUUCUGGCUCCAUGAGCUCAGGAGACGAAUGUGGACAGAAGCACGGAAAGGGCCAAGGCAAAGAUAAAGGGAAAUCUCAGCAACAGCAAGGACAGCAAGGACAGCAAGGACAGCAAGGACAAGGUCAUGGUCACGGUCAUGGAGGUGAUCAUGGGAAAAAGGGACAAGCAUGUGAGCAGCAAAAAGGAAAAAAGUGUUAAGGUCAUAACCUGAGACCAUGGUGGUCCAUGCAUGUCCUCAUGCUUUACAUAUCAAAACUGGGGUUCAGCUCCAUAUUGUAUUCAAAUAAUGAAAUUAAAACACUCUUAAAUGAUG
ensembl:lncRNA